GGUUAAAAGUCAGGGAGAGAUAUGGAAGAGAUUAUCGGGAUUUAGGUGGCUGCCGUGUAUAAAUAGGAGGUGCUGGUAUCACACAAGGGAUGUCGAGAGCUUGGGGGUCGAUACGGGGGUUAGGGGCAGUUAGUAGAGGCUGCAGAGCCGAGAAGAAGUGCAGAAAAUCAUCUCUGUUGUUGUUGAAGAAGAAGGAAACGAAGAAUAUCGCAGAUUCUUUACACCAUACAUUUGUCGUUCUUCUACAGUCUUAUGAAAUUGUAACAGUGAUUUCUGUAACGACUGUUAAGUGUUACAGAUUCUCUGUAUUAUUAUUUCUCUUCAAUAAAAACACCUUUUGAGUCAUGUUUCUAUCUUAUGAGUGUGUUUUGAGCAUGAUGGGCUAAACCCAAACACUGGGACCACGGAGAAAGCCAUGUUUCACAAUCGAUUGGAAUUAAGAUGUUACAUGAUGGAUCACUAGCGUGGAUGAGUUGGCAUAUGUUCUUUCCUCUUAACCCAAAUCUUAUUGUGAUGACAAGGAAUGUUUAUCACCUUUGAUGAGGGCCGGCCCUGACAUUUUGUUGCCCCAAAGCAAACCAAAAAAUGUUGCCCCAUUCCAUACAAAGAAAGUGUUAUGGUGGUUUGCAUAAAAAUUAGAGUACUACUGGUACAAAGGAAGGGCAAUUUACUGGAACGACGGCUGGACAAAGACCAUGGGUGGAUCCACUGACCAGAAAUGGAGGUAGAGGUUUCGGGUUACGAACAACGGAUAAAUUUCAAAGUGGACAUUUGCUAUCUGGAGUGAUUCCGUUACCACGUUCUGUAGAUGCGGAUGAUAGUUCAGAUAUGGAUGAAUCAUUAGAUGAAGAAAGUGCUAGAUAUUCAAUUAAUUCGCCUCCAUGGAGAUAUACAAAGCCACAUAGAGAAAAAAAUUGUUGUUGAAGUGAAACACGUUUGCAGUUGUUGGAAAUUUAGUAUUCACCCCUCUGAUAUUUAGCAUUAACCCCUCUUAUAACUCCUCUAUAUUAUGCCCCUUAUAUUCUUUAAUAAAUGCGUUCUAUUUCGUA